rnacentral:rRNA from 1 species
CACCUACGGGACGCAGCAGUGAGGAAUAUUGGUCAAUGGCCGAGAGGCUGAACCAGCCAAGUCGCGUGAGGGAUGACGGCCCUACGGGUUGUAAACCUCUUUUGUCGGGGAGCAAGACCCUCCUCGUGCAGGCGGAGCGAGAGUACCCGAAGAAAAAGCAUCGGCUAACUCCGUGCCAGCAGCCGCGGUAAUACGGAGGAUGCGAGCGUUAUCCGGAUUUAUUGGGGUUAAAGGGAGCGUAGGCGGUCCGGUAAGUCAGCGGCAGAAUUGCGGGGCUCAACCCCGUCGAGCCG